rnacentral:rRNA from 1 species
AUUGAACGCUGGCGGCAGGCCUAACACAUGCAAGUCGAGCGGAUGAAGGGAGCUUGCUCCUGGAUUCAGCGGCGGACGGGUGAGUAAUGCCUAGGAAUCUGCCUGGUAGUGGGGGAUAACGUCCGGAAACGGGCGCUAAUACCGCAUACGUCCUGAGGGAGCAAGUGGGGGAUCUUCGGACCUCACGCUAUCAGAUGAGCCUAGGUCGGAUUAGCUAGUUGGUGGGGUAAAGGCCUACCAAGGCGACGAUCCGUAACUGGUCUGAGAGGAUGAUCAGUCACACUGGAACUGAGACACGGUCCAGACUCCUACGGGAGGCAGCAGUGGGGAAUAUUGGACAAUGGGCGAAAGCCUGAUCCAGCCACGCCGCGUGUGUGAAGAAGGUCUUCGGAUUGUAAAGCACUUUAAGUUGGGAGGAAGGGCAGUAAGUUAAUACCUUGCUGUUUUGACGUUACCAACAGAAUAAGCACCGGCUAACUUCGUG